rnacentral:rRNA from 1 species
AUUGAACGCUGGCGGCAUGCUUUACACAUGCAAGUCGAACGGCAGCGCGGGCUUCGGCCUGGCGGCGAGUGGCGAACGGGUGAGUAAUGCAUCGGAACGUGCCCAGUAGUGGGGGAUAGCCCGGCGAAAGCCGGAUUAAUACCGCAUACGACCUGAGGGUGAAAGCGGGGGACCGAAAGGCCUCGCGCUAUUGGAGCGGCCGAUGUCGGAUUAGCUAGUUGGUGGGGUAAAGGCUUACCAAGGCGACGAUCCGUAGCUGGUCUGAGAGGACGACCAGCCACACUGGGACUGAGACACGGCCCAGACUCCUACGGGAGGCAGCAGUGGGGAAUUUUGGACAAUGGGGGCAACCCUGAUCCAGCCAUGCCGCGUGCGGGAAGAAGGCCUUCGGGUUGUAAACCGCUUUUGUACGGGAAGAAAUCCUCUGGGCUAAUACCCCGGGGGGAUGACGGUACCGGAAGAAUAAGCACCGGCUAACUACGUG